rnacentral:rRNA from 1 species
UCCAAAAUGACUAGCGCACAGCGUCAGAUUCUCCCGUCAGCGGAUCCACACGCGGGGCAACAACAACCAAAUCCGGUGGGCGGACGGGGAACUUGAGGACGGAGGAUGGUGGUGGAGUUCCCCAUCACCUUGCGGGAGCUCUACAGGAACGCCAUCACGAACUGAAUUUCAGAUUUGGCAUUAGGAGUUGCUAAUAACUCGAAGGGAACAAGGAAAUUGUUGGCUUUCUUCAAUACAUCCAACCAAUAGAAUUUUAUAUCAACCAUGGCUGAGCAGGAUUUUGCAACAAAGCUCUCACUACGGAAAUUCAUGGCGACGGCGCAGCGUGUAACUCUAGAUCAAAGGCACCUUGCCCGUAGCAUGGGCCUGGAUCAUCUGCUUGACCUAAAAUGUGAUACUCUGCCGCGCGGUGUCGUUCAUUAUCUGGCAUCAAACUUUGAUGUACCCUCAAGGGCUAUUGAACUCCCCAAUGGGUUCAAGUUCACAAUCACACCCUACUGCAUACACCAGGUCCUGGGGAUACCACUUGGCGGCAGAACCAUAGAGAAGAAGCAAAACCCAGCUCUUAGAUCACUGAUUGCUCAACAGACAAAAUGCAAAGGAAACUACCCAACCAUAAACGAGCUGGAUAACUUGAUACAACCUGGGCUAGAUGGAGAUUCAUUCAAAAGGAUUUUCACAAUGUAUGCGCUCACCGUGCUCCUCUGCCCUUCAAGCCAUGGGGCUGCUAGUCCAGAUUACUACCACAUUCUGGAAGACCCUGAACAGAUUGGCUCAUUCGACUUCUGCACGGCUGUCCUUGACAAGCUUGUGGCGUCAAUUGAUAGCUACAAGACUGGAGCCACAACGGUGCUCGGCGGGGAUCUCUUAACACUCACGAUCAUAUACUUUGAAUUUCUUGACACCGACAUCAUGCCGGUCACAAGCAAGCGGCCACGGAUUUCACUUUGGACGUCUGAAAUUGUAGCAGAAUAUGAAAGGCGAGACUGCACAAGCAGCGAUAAAUUGCUUUACGGCAGGCUCCCGACAAAGCGUGUCUCGGAAACACCCUUCGGUCAAAUCAACAGACAGCCAAAAGUCACACUAGGUGCCUCGUAUGAUGAACUCCUGCAGUUCACCCUCUCAAUUGUUCCAGAGGAAAACCACCAGAUGGUUUUAGACGAGCUUCCAAAGAUUAUGCAUAGCAUGCAGAGCGAGCUUUUUGAUUCAAUGCAAAAUGUACUCGCCAAGAACUUUAUGAACCUGCUGAAACUGAUGUCGUCAAUGCAUUCUUCAUCGCCUAGCAAAAAACAGAAUAGCACAGACAAAGAUUCAAGGUGCGUGCCCAUUUCAGAGGCUCCGACGGUUCCUUGUGGUAGCCACUCCAGCUUGCAAAUGACAAGUACCACACUGGCUGAAAGAAAACAGGAUAAGCCUGAAGCAAAAACAGGGGUAGAAUGUGGCUCAGGGCAGGAAACAGAGCACGUUUUUACAGCUGAAGAAACAAAGCCAUUGUCUGAAGUACAAAGGAAGAACAACAAAGCCCCCGUACCCGUGCUCUUGAGUUUUGAGGAUACAAGUGAUGAAGUUUUGGCGGAAUGGGACAAACAAGCAUGUGCCAAUGCCAGGGUACCCAACGUUGAAAGCCUACUUCGAAUAAUUGACACAAUACCAAUUUCGACCGACCUAGACCUGCCGCGCUGCACGGAAGCAUUGGAGGGGAUGUACCCACAGAAGGUGCAGGUUGGAGAUACCGAGGCUGAACCUACCCACAUUUUUAGCUUGCUUUCUUAUGUUCUUGACGAGAAAGCAUUUUGGCACCGACCGCUGAGUCCACGAGAGCCAGAUUUAUUAACCUGCAGGGAGCUCAAUCUAUUUGAAGAAUGGAAGGUCUCUACCAAGGUUGAUGGUAGUGAAGGUCCAACCAGCAGUGACCCUAUCAGGACGACAGAGGACAUCACUAAUAGAAACAAAAGGACGACAUGCAUGUCCUUAAACGAGACGGCUGACAACUGCGUUGCUUUGAAAAAAAGGGCAAGGAUGUUUUAG